rnacentral:snoRNA from 1 species
GGGGAUGAUGAACGUUAGCCACUCUGAAUGGAUGAAGAAAAGAGGGUUAACUGACC